rnacentral:rRNA from 1 species
UAAGACGAACCGAGCGAACGUUGUUCGGAAUCACUGGGCUUAAAGGGCGCGUAGGCGGGUGCUCAAGUCUGUGGUGAAAUCCUCCAGCUUAACUGGAGAACUGCCAUGGAUACUGGGUGUCUCGAGGAACGUAGGGGUAUGCGGAACGAUUGGUGGAGCGGUGAAAUGCGUUGAUAUCAAUCGGAACUCCGGUGGCGAAGGCGGCAUACUGGACGUUAUCUGACGCUGAGGCGCGAAAGCCAGGGGAGCAAACGGGAUUAGAUACCCCGGUAGUCCUGGCCCUAAACGAUGGGUACUAGCUAGUAGGGUUCACAUGGCUUUACUGGCGAAGCAAAAGUGCUAAGUACCCCGCCUGGGGAGUAUGGUCGCAAGGCUG